UCCACUGUUGCGUUUUUCAUACGUACGUAUACGCACGUAAAACUUUAAAUCCGUUUAAUUAGUAUGCAUUUGUUAACUUAUUUGUAAAAUAUUUAAAAAAUAGAAGGAUUCAAAGUUUUACGUGCGUGUACGUGCGUACGAAAAACGCAACAGUGGA